GGUCCGUUUGCGAACUGGAAAGUCUUGGACUGCCAUCAGAAAUCUGCCCUCUGGUCUUUGUCAUCACAGGUUCAGGAAAUGGUUGACUAUUAUACACAUCCAGGAAACUACAGCCCAGUUUUCCAUGAAAAAAUUGCCCCUUAUGCAUCUGUAAUUGUGAAUUGCAUGUAUUGGGAGAAACAGUUUCCUAGAUUAUUAUUGAGUACCAAGCAGCUUCAAGAUUUAACGAGGAAAGGAUGUGUUGGAAUCUCUGAUUUCACUUGUGAUAUUGGGGGAUCAAUAAAAUUUGCAACAAAAUUUGCAAAGGACAAGGCAACAAUUCCAUGAAUAUGAAUAUGAAUAUGAAUUUGAAUAAUUCGAAUUUAGGAAAAAGUGGUGGAGAAUGAAAGAGUUGGAGAAGAUCCAGAAGCCUUGAUAUUUUCAAACGUGAUCCUGAUUUCCUUGAGAAUGAGAAGCCGCUAUGAAGAAUUGAAGAAAACCCUACUUGGUGAGGAGUCUGAAGAGGAAGAAGGUUCUGAUGAUGCAGUUUCAGAUGCCCUUCCCUGGCAGCAUGGGCUAGGCAAUAUACAGUUGACUGAAGAGGACACCACUUAUCUUCUCGUAUUUUUAUCAAGUUCCUUUUCGUGGAAUUGUCGGAGUAUCUUGGCAUCCGUUUGCUAAACCAGCAGCUCAAAGAUCCUGCAUUGCAGGACUCUCAUGAUUCUAUUUUCCCAAAGGAUAAUCCCAAGAACACCAGCUUUGCCAUUAACUUUUUCACAUCCAUUGGUCUUAGCAGCAUCACUUAGAAGCUGCGUGACUACUUGAAGCAGAUGCCACGACUAUGCAACAACAAAAACCGGUGUCAGACUCAGAAUCAGAUGAUGAAGAAUACGAGAGUCGUUCUGGUCCAUAAGAGUCGGACACUUCUGAGUCUGAUGAAGGUGAAAGCGAUAGGGACGAAAGACGCAAGAAGCGCAGGAGGAAAAAAAAGCUACAGGGACGAAGGAGACAGGAAGCGUAGGACGAGAGUGAUGGCAGAAUCUUCGCGCAGUCCUGUACAGUGUUGAUAUAUUCUUUCUUUCUGUGAGCAACAAUGCUUACUUUGCUUUUAGUUUCUGUGCUCAAGAGAGCCUGUUCUGAUGGUAUAUAGUCUUAGUUCAGGGGCUCAUCACUUCUGAUAGUAUGCCAUAAGUUGAGUCCUGCUGGAUUUUAGACUAGUUCUUUGGUUGCAUUUCAGCGUAUGUCCGCGGGGCUAUACUAUUCUUUGGUUGAAGAUGGGGAUGUAGAUAGGAAAUUGGAUUCUAAGCCUAGUUUCAAAAGGAGCUCGUCAGGCAAUAACAAGGAUGAGUCUCAGGUUUUAUGGAUGAAACUAAAAUACGAGUUGAUUGAUUUGUCACCAGAUGCAAGACCCUUGUACCUUGUUAGUUUAUAUCAACAAGAGGAAUGGGGCUCAGCGUGGGAAUUCACUGAGGCAACGAUUGAAUAUUCUUCUCAAUCCUGUUCAGGUUUGAUUUCUCUACCAUCUUCUUUACUUGGACAAAUAUAUUUGCCUUCAUUUGUUUAGCCAAGUGAGCUCUUUUAAAUAAGGUAUAAGGUUUAAGGUUUAAAUGUCUGUGGUGGAAAAAAUAUUUCCCUUCUUUUCAUUUCAAAUGACCCAAGUAUGGUUAUUACUGAAGCUUAAGGUUUAAAUCUCCGUGGGGUUGAAAAAUUAAGAUUUGCUAGUUUAGCCCCUUAGUGAAACAGGAAGUCCUAACACUACUUUCUAAUUGAUUUCUAUGGAGUUUGGUGAACCUAUUCUCUAUUUAUAUUUGUGAUAUAUCAUAUAUUGUUGCAUCUUUUUGUGUUUUUGCCUGGACUUAAAACUUAAUGGUCUGUG